rnacentral:snoRNA from 1 species
UUUUCCUUUCUUUAGUGCGGACAACCAGGACUAUAUCCGUGUUGCUUGUCUUAUACUUUUUAUCUUACUGUUUGAUAAGCGUCAAGUCCUUGGUGAGAUCAAGACAUGGGGAAUCUACGCCGAUUCCUUGAUUGAUCAUCUUAAUGCUCUUUUGUUAUUCUAGUGUCGCGACUACUCUUGCAGGUGGACCGUGUUGAGAAUAGCAAGGGCUGGUAGAUCAUACAAUU